UUUUAUGGUCCCCUUGCCCCAAACUUGCCUUAACUGGUGUGAUCUCAUAAGUGAAGCAGGGUCAGACCUGGUUAGACCUUGGAUGGAAGACCACCAAGGAAUACCGGGGGCUGGAAUAU
rnacentral:rRNA from 1 species